rnacentral:rRNA from 1 species
UACAGAGGUCCCGAGCGUUGUUCGGAUUCACUGGGCGUAAAGGGUGCGUAGGUGGCUGGGCAAGUUUGAUGUGAAAGCUCAGGGCUUAACCCUGAAAUGGCAUUGAAUACUGCCUGGCUGGAGGUUUGGAGGGGGGACUGGAAUUCUUGGUGUAGCAGUGAAAUGCGUAGAUAUCAGGAGGAACACCAGUGGCGAAGGCGAGUCCCUGGACAACACCUGACACUGAGGCACGAAAGCCGGGGGAGCAAACAGG